GGGGCGGGCGGCGCGGGGACGCUGCGCUGGUGUGACAGUGACCGCGCCAAGGGCGCUCCGAGAAGCGCCCGCGUUACUCGGGCCUGCGCUCAGCAGCGAGCGGAGAUUGUUGUGACAGCGAUGAUCACACAGCCACGGAAUUCCUGGGGCUGGGAGGGACCUCUGGAGAUCGUUCAGCCCAGCCCACACACGGCAGGGUCACCUCGGGCAGGUGACAGGAGCGCGUCCAGGUAGGGCUCUCCUAACAGGGAGACUCCACCACCUCCCUGGGCAGCUGUUGCAGUGCCCUGCCACCCUCAGCGUAAAAAUGCUUCUUCAUCUGUUUUGGUUUAUGGCUCUUCCAUGAAUGUUCCCUCGUUUGUCAGCCCUGGGCACAAUUCCUAGCCCUUGGGCAGCCAAGCAGCAGCAGUGGUGGCAAGAAGUUCCUGAGAAGUUCCUGCUGAUCGUGGUCUUGAGGGAAAAAAAAAAAGGGCAGCACCAGGCAGAGGAAUUGUCUGCAGCUUCCAGAAGCGCUGAGCAAAGAAGUGAGGUGCCACAGAAUACCUGAAGAGGGAAAAAUUCACACAAAAAUAAGAGUCAAAAGGGCUGCGACUUGUCAGUGUGGCACCUAAGUAAAGACAAUUCUUGCAGAGCCUGCUGAAGGAAUAGUUCCUGAAUCUCUGGAGCUUACCGUAAAGGGAAACACACGUGGAAGGGCAGUGUUGGCAUGCUGAGACUCUGAGGGUGUAAUUGGCCUUGUCCCAGAUCUUUUAUGGCCAAGGGUUUGCUAAGAACUUAAUGAAACAGCAGCUGUACGGCCCCUUUAUUAGAUUCAGAGCUCACCCACGGAGCCUUUCAGAUGUAGUUAAGAGAAGAUGAUGACAGCUCUGUUCUUUUUGCCAGAAUUACCGAGCUGAA